CCUGGGCUUUGUGAGUCAUCCCUUCUUCCUCUUUUCAGUUUCCUGGGGCAGUGUGCAUCCCAGCUCAUGCAUAAUGCAGUAUCUGGACUGCCUCUGGCCUUCCAGGGCUCUUGACUGGGAUAAUCCUGCAGCACUCUUUGUCUAGGCCAUAGGAGGCAAGAAGAAUACUUCAUUGCCAGACUAAUGGAAUUAUGAUUGGCUGUUGAAUUGAAAACGAGUCUGGCCUCCAUCUAGCUAUUUCCAUACAAAUCCACAAGACCAUGGAUUUAGAGACCAGCUGGAAUAUGGGACCAGAAAUAAAGAAGUACACAUUGAAAUAUGGAAGGCCAUUUGGAUCAGAGCAGCUGCCUUUGGGUGAAGGUCAGGAAAUGAUAUAAUUUACAAUAGCCCUGAGAGUAUGGCAAUAAAUAUUUACCAAACACCUAAUAAUGUGCAGAGUACCAUGAGAGAUGCUGGGAAAGGUCCUGCCCUUGAGAAGCUUAUAGUCUGGUAUUGGUUGUUCCUAUUGGUUCCAAAUGUAGGUAGAGAGCACUUUAGGUGGUGCAGUAGAUAAGGUUGCAAAUCAAAAAGAUUCAUUUUCCUGAAUUCAAAUCUGGACUCAGACACUAUGAGCUGUGUGACCCUGGGCAAGUCAUUUAUGCCCUGUUUGCCUUAAAAAUAAAUAAAUUAUAACUAUAGAUAAAAUAAGCCAUCUUGGAGAGGCAAUGUAGGGCCAUAAAUCUAGUGCUAGAAGGCACUUCAGACAGGGAUUGUAUCUUGUCCCAACUUUGUAUUUCUUUCUGUGUCUAAUACAGUACAUGGUAUACACAGGAUGCCUAAUAAAUGGCUAUUGAAUGACUGAAUAAAUGAAUGAAUGAAAGGAUGAAUAAGACAACUUUAUAUGGUAGAAAAAAUCACUAGUUUAGUCGGGAAACUGGUAUUUGGGUUCAAGUGCUGAUAUUUCUUCACUGAGCAAUUCUGGGGAAGUCUUCAGCCUCAUUUUCUGCUUUUAUAGUAAGGGGAAAAUAAUAUUUGCAUGACUACUCUCUGCGGGUUGCAAGAACUUUGGUAAUAUGUGCUAUUGUUUAUUUCACUAACUAUAACAACAACAAUAACAAUAACUACUACUACUAUUUAGUACUCACAAAUGCUUUGUAAACUCUCAAGUAGAAUAGAGAGAUGGAAUUAUAGGGUUAGAGCCUAAAGGGAGUUGAAAGAUGUGGGUUUGGCCACUCAAAAAGGUUAGUAAAAACAGAAACCUGUUGUCUCUUUCUCUGAGGCUCAGAGGGCAAGAUGGCUACCCUCAGUCCUGGA